rnacentral:rRNA from 1 species
GAUGAACGCUGGCGGCGUGCCUAAUACAUGCAAGUCGAGCGAACAGACGAGGAGCUUGCUCCUCUGACGUUAGCGGCGGACGGGUGAGUAACGCGUGGAUAACCUACCUAUAAGACUUGGAUAACUUCGGGAAACCGGAGCUAAUACCGGAUAAUAUAUUGAACCGCAUGGUUCAAUAGUUAAAGACGGUUUUGCUGUCACUUAUAGAUGGAUCCUCGCCGCAUUAGCUAGUUGGUAAGGUAACGGCUUACCAAGGCAACGAUGCGUAGCCGACCUGAGAGGGUGAUCGGCCACACUGGAACUGAGACACGGUCCAGACUCCUACGGGAGGCAGCAGUAGGGAAUCUUCCGCAAUGGGCGAAAGCCUGACGGAGCAACGCCGCGUGAGUGAUGAAGGUCUGCGGAUCGUAAAACUCUGUUAUUAGGGAAGAACAAAUGUGUAAGUAACUAUGCACGUCUUGACGGUACCUAAUCAGAAAGCCACGGCUAACUACGUG